GCGGCUUAACAUGCAGUCGACGCGUGUAGCAAUACACGAGUGGCGCACGGGUGAGUAACGCGUGGAUAUCUGCCUUUUGGUUCGGAAUAACCCCGGGAAACUGGGGCUAAUACCGGAUGGUUCCUUCGGGAUAAAGAUUUAUCGCCAAAAGAUGAGUCCGCGUACGAUUAGCUAGUUGGUGAGGUAAUGGCUCACCAAGGCGACGAUCGUUAGCUGGUCUGAGAGGACGAUCAGCCACACUGGGACUGAGACACGGCCCACACUCCUACGGGAGGCAGCAGUGGGAAUAUUGGACAAUGGGGGCAACCCUGAUCCAGCCAUGCCGCGUGAGUGAUGAAGGCCUUCGGGUUGUAAAGCUCUUUUGGCGGGGACGAUGAUGACGGUACCCGCAGAAUAAGCCCCGGCUAACUUCGUGCCAGCAGCCGCGGUAAGACGAAGGGGGCUAGCGUUGUUCGGAAUUACUGGGCGUAAAGCGCGUGUAGGCGGUUAUCCAAGUCGGGUGUGAAAGCCUUGAGCUCAACUCAAGAAAUGCACUCGGUAUUGGGUGACUAGAGGACCGGAGAGGAUAGUGGAAUUCCCAGUGUAGUGGUGAAAUACGUAGAGAUUGGGAAGAACACCAGUGGCGAAGGCGGCUAUCUGGACGGCUUCUGACGCUAAGACGCGAAAGCGUGGGGAGCAAACAGGAUUAGAUACCCUGGUAGUCCACGCCGUAACGAUGGGUGCUAGACGUUGGCGGGCUUGCUCGUCAGUGUCGCAGCUAACGCGUUAAGCACCCCGCCUGGGGAGUACGGCCGCAAGGUUG
rnacentral:rRNA from 1 species